rnacentral:rRNA from 1 species
UAGGGAAUAUUAGUAAUGGGCGAAAGCCUGAACUAGCAACGCCGCGUGUGCGAAGAAGGCCUUCGGGUUGUAAAGCACUUUUUGAGAGGAUGAGGAAGGACGGUACUCUCAGAAUAAGUCUCGGCUAACUACGUGCCAGCAGCCGCGGUAACACGUAGGAGGCGAACGUUAUCCGGAUUUAGUGGGCGUAAAGCGUGUGUAGGUGGUUUGGUAAGUAGGGGGUGAAAGCUCCUGGCUCAACUCGGAGAGGCCGUUCUAAACUGCCGAACUAGAGGAUGGUAGAGGGAGGUGGAAUUCCGGGUGUAGCGGUGGAAUGCGCAGAUAUCCGGAGGAACACCAGUGGCGAGAGCGGCCUCCUGGACCAUUCCUGACACUCAGACGCGAAAGCUAGGGUAGCAAACGG